rnacentral:piRNA from 1 species
CCCAAUUUACUCUGAUAAGGGCAG